rnacentral:lncRNA from 1 species
AAAUGGGAGGCUUGUGGAGGAAGCAUUGUUGAGGUUCUGACCUGGUUUGCCUUCCUAUUUGGUUUGUCAACACUCUGGCAUGGAAAUGAAGGGACAAGGGUGCUUCAAACAUGGCUGGAGUGGCUUUUGUUUUUAACAUUUUUGGAAUAAAAAACAAAAAAAAAAUCACAUGGCUCGGGUUCCUCAAUAUGUGACCCCCUUGCAUAGUUGACUUCCAAAGAUACCUCACUAUGUUAUGAAAUAUGUUAGAGGUCAAAAGGGAUCAGAUCCAUGUGGUUAAAUGGUU